GACGAACGCUGGCGGCGUGCCUAAUACAUGCAAGUUGAGCGCUGAAGGUUGGUACUUGUACCGACUGGAUGAGCAGCGAACGGGUGAGUAACGCGUGGGGAAUCUGCCUUUGAGCGGGGGACAACAUUUGGAAACGAAUGCUAAUACCGCAUAAAAACUUUAAACACAAGUUUUAAGUUUGAAAGAUGCAAUUGCAUCACUCAAAGAUGAUCCCGCGUUGUAUUAGCUAGUUGGUGAGGUAAAGGCUCACCAAGGCGAUGAUACAUAGCCGACCUGAGAGGGUAAUCGGCCACAUUGGGACUGAGACACGGCCCAAACUCCUACGGGAGGCAGCAGUAGGGAAUCUUCGGCAAUGGACGAAAGUCUGACCGAGCAACGCCGCGUGAGUGAAGAAGGUUUUCGGAUCGUAAAACUCUGUUGGUAGAGAAGAACGUUGGUGAGAGUGGAAAGCUCAUCAAGUGACGGUAACUACCCAGAAAGGGACGGCUAACUACGUG
rnacentral:rRNA from 1 species